rnacentral:misc_RNA from 1 species
GGACUUCUCAGCUUGUAAUGUUCCCCGCAGAGACAAAUCAGCAUGCACAAAACCAUCAGGUGAGCGACUUAUCUCGAGGACCUUACAUUUGAUGAACUGUCCUUCUUGGUAUCCAGAUAGGGGAGUAGGUGCCCAUGUAUCAUCAAGCUCUGUAUAAUGAACCCUACCAAAUAGAUGAGGGCCAAUCUGCACAAGCAGCCCGCCAACACCAGGGAGUUUUU